GACCGAUCAGGCUGUUGGCGAGGUAAUGGCUCACCAAACCAGUAACCGGUACGGGCCUUGAGAGAGGGGGCCCGGAGAUGGACACUGAGAGAAGGGUCCAGGUCCUACGGGGCGGAGCAGGCGCGAAACCUUCGCAAUGCGCGAAAGCGUGACGAGGUUAAUCCGAGUGGUCCCCGCUGAGGGGAUCUUUUGUCGGCUGUAAAAAGGCCGGUGAAUAAGGGGAGGGCAAGUCUGGUGUCAGCCGCCGCGGUAAUACCAGCUCCUCGAGUGGCCGGGGCGAUUAUUGGGCCUAAAGCAUCCGUAGCCGGUUCCGUAGGUCUUCUGUACAAUCCAACGGUUCAACCGUUGGCCCGCAAAAGAUACCGCGGGACUAGGACGCCGGAGAGGUGGGCGGUACUCCACGUGUAGGGGUAAAAUCCUUUGAUCCGUGGAAGA
rnacentral:rRNA from 1 species